GCGGCGAAGGGAGAGUAACGCGUAGAUAUCUGCCUCGAGGCCCGGGAUAGCGGCGGGAAACUGCCGGUAAUACCGGAUAACAUCUCCGGAUCAAAGGUGUGAUUCCGCCUCGAGAUGAGUCUGCGUCCUAUUAAUGCUUGUUGGUGUGGUAACGGCGCACCAAGGCGAAGAUGGGUACCGGGUGUGAGAGCAUGGCCCGGCUCACUGGGACUGAGACACUGCCCAGACACCUACGGGUGGCUGCAGUCGAGAAUCUUCGGCAAUGGGCGAAAGCCUGACCGAGCGACGCCGCGUGCGGGAUGAAGGCCCUCGGGUUGUAAACCGCUGUCAGUAGGGAGCAAAUCUCUUGGGGUUAUCCCCUUGAGUUGAGCGAUCUUCAGAGGAAGUACGGGCUAAGUUCGUGCCAGCAGCCGCGGUAAGACGAACCGUACGAACGUUAUGGGGGAAUCACUGGGCUUAAAGAGUCCGUAGGCGGCCGUGUAGGUGGGAUGUGAAAGCCCUCGUCUCAACCCAGGAAUUGCGUUCCAAACCACAUGGCUUGAGGAGGAUAGAGGUGAGCGGAACUGAUGGUGGAGCGGUGAAAUGCGUUGAUAUCAUCAGGAACACCAGAGGCGAAGGCGGCUCACUGGGUCCUUUCUGACGCUUAGGGACGAAAGCUAGGGGAGCAAACGGGAUUAGAUACCCCGGUAGUCCUAGCUGUAAACGAUGAGCACUAGAUCGAGGGGACUUCCACAUCUUCUCGGUCGUAGCGAAAGUGUUAGUUCUCCGCCUGGGGGAGUAUGGUCGCAAGGGCUGAAACCUCAAA
rnacentral:rRNA from 1 species